rnacentral:misc_RNA from 1 species
UACCUCUCAACCCCGCCUUAGUAAUAAGGUUGUUUAGGGCUUGGAUCAUGCUGCUCUGUAGUUUUCAUAACUACUGCGGUGAAAUACAACAAGCUGGAUCCUUAUCUUGCGGCUUGACCCGUUGUUGUAACUUGAAACCCAAUGGGAACGCAAUUUUUAGAGGAAGGGGCUUACCACAAACGCUUGCAAAAUAGCGAACAAGUGCA